rnacentral:rRNA from 1 species
UACGGAGGGGGCUAGCGUUGUUCGGAAUUACUGGGCGUAAAGCGCGCGUAGGCGGCCUGGUAAGUCCGCUGUGAAAGUCCAGGGCUCAACCCUGGAAUGCCGGUGGAAACUGUCAGGCUCGAGUCCGGAAGAGGCGAGUGGAAUUCCUGGUGUAGCGGUGAAAUGCGCAGAUAUCAGGAAGAACACCUAUGGCGAAGGCAGCUCUCUGGGACGGUACUGACGCUGAGACGCGAAAGCGUGGGGAGCGAACAGG